rnacentral:tRNA from 2 species
GGGCCCAUAGCUCAGCGGCAGAGCGGCCGGCUCAUAACCGGUUGGUCGCUGGUUCGAAUCCGGCUGGGCCCACCA